GUAGGUGGCGAGCGUUGUCCGGAAUUAUUGGGCGUAAAGCGCGCGCAGGCGGUCCUUUAAGUCUGAUGUGAAAGCCCACGGCUCAACCGUGGAGGGUCAUUGGAAACUGGGGGACUUGAGUACAGAAGAGGAAAGCGGAAUUCCACGUGUAGCGGUGAAAUGCGUAGAGAUGUGGAGGAACACCAGUGGCGAAGGCGGCUUUCUGGUCUGUAACUGACGCUGAGGCGCGAAAGCGUGGGGAGCAAACAGGGAUUAGAUACCCUGGUAGUCCACGCCGUAAACGAUGAGUGCUAAGUGUUAGGGGGUUUCCGCCCCCUUAGUGCUGCAGCUAACGCAUUAAGCACUCCGCCUGGGGAUACGGCCGCAAGGCUG
rnacentral:rRNA from 1 species